rnacentral:rRNA from 1 species
GAUGAACGCUGGCGGCGUGCUUAACACAUGCAAGUCGAGCGAGUGAGUUCUUCGGAACGAUCUAGCGGCGGACGGGUGAGUAACACGUGGGCAACCUGCCUCAUAGAGGGGAAUAGCCUCCCGAAAGGGAGAUUAAUACCGCAUAAAAUUAUCGAGUGGCAUCACAUGAUAAUCAACGGAGUAAUCCGCUAUGAGAUGGGCCCGCGGCGCAUUAGCUAGUUGGUGAGGUAACGGCUCACCAAGGCGACGAUGCGUAGCCGACCUGAGAGGGUGAUCGGCCACAUUGGGACUGAGACACGGCCCAGACUCCGACGGGAGGCAGCAGUGGGGAAUAUUGCACAAUGGGGGAAACCCUGAUGCAGCAACGCCGCGUGAGUGAUGAAGGUCUUCGGAUUGUAAAGCUCUGUCUUUGGGGACGAUAAUGACGGUACCCAAGGAGGAAGCCACGGCUAACUACGUGCCAGCCGCCGCGGUAA